rnacentral:rRNA from 1 species
UACAGAGGCCCCAAGCAUUACCCGGAAUCACUGGGCGUAAAGGGUGUGUAGGCGGUUGUAUUAGUCUUUCGUAAAAGCACCCGGACUCAAUCCGGGUAAUGCGGGAGAAACGGUACAACUAAGAGGGCGCGAGAGGUAGAGGGAACUCAUGGUGUAGGGGUGAAAUCCGUUGAUAUCAUGGGGAACACCAAAUGCGAAGGCACUCUACUGGCGCGCUCCUGACGCUGAAACACGAAAGCGUGGGAAUCGAACGGG